rnacentral:rRNA from 1 species
UACGUAGGGUGCAAGCGUUGUCCGGAAUUAUUGGGCGUAAAGGGCUCGUAGGCGGUCCAUCGCGUCGGGAGUGAAAAGCUGGGGCUUAACCCCAGUCCUGCUUCCGAUACGGGUGGACUAGAGGUAGGUAGGGGAGAACGGAAUUCCUGGUGUAGCGGUGAAAUGCGCAGAUAUCAGGAGGAACACCGGUGGCGAAGGCGGUUCUCUGGGCCUUACCUGACGCUGAGGAGCGAAAGCAUGGGGUGCAAACAGG